GCCGGGUGCAGCGGCGUGCGGUGCCUAUAGUCCCAGCUACUCCAGAGGCUGAGGUGGGAGGAUUGCUUGAGCCCAGGAGUUCUGGGCUAUAGUGCACUAUGCCAGUCAGGUGUCCACACUAAGUUUGGCAUCAAUAUGGUGACCUUCCGGGAGUGGGGACCACCAGGUUGCCUAAGGAGGGGUGAUCUGGCCCAGGUUGGAAAUGGAGCAGGUCAAAACUCCUGUGCUGAUCAAUAGUGGGAUUGCACCUGCGAAUAGCCACGGCACUCCAGCCUGGGCAACAUAGCAAGACCCUGUCUCU
rnacentral:SRP_RNA from 1 species